rnacentral:rRNA from 1 species
CCGGCGUAGAGGGAUUGAAGGCCUUCGGGUCGUAAACCUCUGUCGCCCGGGACGAAGAAUGUGACGGUACCGGAGAGGAAGCUACGGCUAACUACGUGC